GCCCUGCUUAAAGUCACCAAUGACCUUUUAAUGUCUGCUGAUGAAGACCUGUGUCCAGGAGCAUUUUACCUACCACAGUCUGGAAGCACGAGUGGAGUUGUGUGAGGAAGGGCGGCUUGUCCUGUUGGGCCAGAACCCUCUUCUCCACCAUGGUACAUUCCACGUCAUCGUCCUGGAUCACCACAUCCUUCUUCAGGAUCUUUAUUGCGUACAGCUCUUCAGUGGCCUUCAUCUCUGCCAACAUGACCUUCAGAGAGACACAGGGGGACAGAACGCUGCCUCACCUUGCCGAAGCUGCCUUUUCCAAGAACAGCCAGGAAGGAGAAGUCGCAGAGUUUGACCUGGUCCAGGCUGUUGGAAGGCCUAGGGUGGCUGCCGUCCGUCUCAUUCUCGAUGACCUUCUUAUGUGGGCCUAGCUUGGCUAUCUGCACUCACAAAAGGAUGAUCCAAGACAGUGAUGAGUCUGCAUACAGCUGGCCCUCUGGUGCUGUCAGAACAAUGUGGAGCUGAACAUGCUGAAAACUGUAGAGAUGACACUGGACUUAAGGAAGAGCCACACAACACUACGCCACAGAGCACUGUAUGCCAAAACGUCCAGACACAAGAAGAGUUUCUACCCACAGGCCGUCACUCUGAUGAACACACCACUCACAUGAUGUCAGGAACAAUCCCUUUGCAGUAACCCACAUAAACAUCCAGUGUACCUGUACAAUAUAUAUUUUCUCAUUUUUUAAAAUAUAAAGUAUUUUUACACGUAAAUAUCAUCCUCAAACACUAAGUUAUACACAGAGCAUACUGUGGGAUAUCACCUAUCUCAUGUGUAUAAAGCAACCUGUUACAUCAUUCAUAUUUAUUUCAGCACACUUUGCACCAUCACACUAAUGUCUUACUGACUUACAUACAUGGCCAAUAAAGCUUAUUCUGAUAAAAUCAGAAAAAAGAACUGACACUAGAAUGAGAGGGAAAAAAAUUCUCUGUCAGUAUACCCUGUCGGUAUGAAUUGCAGAAUGUGCAAGACAUGAGACUAUUAAGUUAAGUCUUAGUUAUUGCAAGCUUUACUUUCAGUCAUGACCAGUAGGAGGCAUCACAGAUUGUCUAAUUUAAUUUGCCUGGCACAAUAUAAACCUAUCAAGAUAUGUGUGUAGUCUUAACUCUUUUCGGAUGUACUGCAGCUUACAAAUUCAUGUCCAGUCUGUGGCGCUGACAAUUCCUGGUUUAAGAUCAAAUUAUCUUCUUUAAAUAAUAAACCUGACAUAACAAACAUGUUGGUGCAUAAUGAUUCCAUUUAUCCAUUCAAUUGAGUUUAAAAACACGUGCUUAUGCAAAUAGACAAACACUAGGACAAAAGAAGCAGGGGCCACAACAUAGUUGCUUGGAUACAAGUCUUCACAACUAUCUUGGCUUGCAUUUAAAGAGCAGUACAAGACAAACAUGGGGCAGUUUUUACAAAAAAGCGAUUGUUGAACUUGUGUUCUGUCCCACCAUGCAUCAGCUAAAACCAAAACCCUGCAAGAAUGGUAUCUGCUAACCUGAUAAGACUGCAGACCAGCUGAGCCAAGCUGAACACCCACCAAACAUUACGUUUGGUCUUGAUACAUUAUGUUAUUUUAUAACUCAUCAGCUCGGUAAAUUUCAGCCUUGCUCAGCUUUCUGAAAUUAUAACAGCUAAUCAGCCCAUAUGAUUUCACUCUGCAAUCCUGACUGCCUCAUGAAUGCCUUCUAGUGAGGUCUGUACCUCAUCUACUGCAUACUACAUGAAGUUUUAAACUCUUUUUUAUUGGGAAAACAAAUAGGCACAUGUUGCUAAUAUCUGGACAGAUUUCGUUGUUGAUUUCCCUAUUCAUACAGUUGAACUGUUCAGAAGGUUCAUUAUAAUGCACACUGACAUUACAGAGCUUAGUUUUUAAGAGUUGCAGCAGUAGAAAUAGCCUAAAAUUUCAUUCAUUCCUGUUCUUUCAAGAAUUUACAUGAUUUCACACACACACACACACCUACACAAGACACAAAGCCUUGUCUUCAGCUCUCACGAGAUGACCCUACCAAAAAGGAGGCCAGCCAUGUUUGUUCUUCACCUCCCUAGGUAAACACAGUCUAUAAAAACUUAAACCAACAGUUUCCACCCUCUCCGUGGAACUCUGUGCUCCUUUGAAAGCCCACUACUUACAAACUGCUCUGAAAAAGUAGCAUGUUGAACAGCACAACUGAUUUCUUUAUAAUGUAAUAUUAUAUGUGUGUGUAUGUGUGUAUGUAUGUAUGUGUGCGUGUACACAUAUAUAUAUAUAUACACACACACACACACACAGUGGGGAGAACAAUUAUUUGAUACACUGCAGAUUUUGCAGGGUUUCCUACUUACAAAGCAUGUAGAGGUCUGUAAUUUUUAUCAUAGGUACACUUCAACUGUGAGAGACGGAAUCUAAAACAAAAAUCCAGAUCAGAUUGUAUGAUUUUUAAAUAAUUAAUUUGCCCUAACCCUAACCCAUAUAAAAUGGGAUAAUCUAAGCAAAAUAGAUAAAUUUCUUUAAAAUUGGCAUAAAAAGCAUAAUAUGGGCUGAAAAUGAACUGUAAUGGGGUACUGUUCUGAUGGGUUGUAUCUUUAUUACAAGCACACAGUUAGACAGGAGUCUCAACGGCCAACUCCCUGCAGUGGAAAAGUGCUGGCACUGGUACCAACACAAGUGCUGUCAGCUGCUCCAACUUAACUCUGAUUCAUAGGGAAAAUGUAAUAGCAGGAUUUUAAGUAAAUUUUCUCUUGGCAAGAAUCUGUUGGCUUUUUUGCACGAUGACUCAGACACUACAAAGAAAUGGAAAUGACUGUUAAGGCUGCGGAGUGGAAGCAGUGGCAGUAAGUCAGCGGCAUUCAAAUCACUGGGCAGUGAUCGUCAAAUGGCAACCCGCAGGCUGCAUGCAAACACCAACUCGGCCUCAUAGCAAGUCCUCCUUGGAUUCAGAGAGCCAACAAUAAAAGGGAGGAUAUAAUUUUGUUUGAAUGACUGGCUUACUGAAUAAGAACCUUACUGGUAACAUGGACGUGAUAAUGCAGGGACAAAUUGGAAAACGGUGUAUUAAUCGAUAUGUGAAGAUAUUAAAUUAUACAAUUAAAGAAUUAUAUGAAACGGACGAACUUUGACAUUUCACUAAUUUAGUGACUCUGAUCAACAUGAUCAGCUCAAUAGGAAGGAGGGGGAGGAAUGAGGAUGUGCUGCACCACUGAGUGAGAAAGGAAGAGAGACAAGUGGGAAAUUAGAAUGCAAAUAGCUUAUUGGCAAAAAAAAAAAAAAUACUAAAUAUGGAGAGAAAUCUGAACUAGGGCAACCUAGAUGUUAUGCAGGCUCAUGCAAAAAAAACAAAAAACAAAUUUAAAGUUAAAAUCUGACACUUGACUCAGUGAGCAUCCUUAAAAAGAAUGAGUGUGAGGUGAUACAAGGAGGUGAGUGAAAAGAGAUUGAAGAGUGAAGACAGAGAGAAAUAUAUGCAUCUACAGUGUUGCUGCACAGGAUUUAAUACACAAGAAUUAUUUUAACACCGUAUUAAGCUUGUGUGAACACCUCUGUUACAAAGUAUGGAAUUGUUCUGUUCACUGCAUGAUUUCCCACAUUUACCAGAAUGCUGUUUCAGAUAGCGCAUGGACUUUCUGCAGACAUAAAUGAACAGUACAUUGUUGUAAGUUUAUCCAGAUAAAAAAGUAAAUGUGCAUAAAGAGCAAUACCAUGAAACAUUUAAAUUUUUGCAUGCAGCUUAUGACCAGAUGAGAAAGCUGUGGUUGCAGUGCAUUCUGGUAUCCACUCUAUCUUUCUCCCUGUUUGGCUGUAUACACCAACAUAUACCAUUAAUGUUUCAGAUAGAUACUUUCUUGUUCAGAUAGAUAUCUUCUUCUGCUGUUAUACUUUCUAAAUUUGGACAGUUUUCUACAUUAAAAACAAUACGACAACAUCGGCAGUAAAAUAGAUUCAGAAUUGCAAGGUAAAUUGUUUCUCGCUGCAUCAGCCACAAGAUGUUAACAGCGUUUAGGGUGGAUUUUGUCUUUUACUGUAAAGGGCUGAUACACCUCCAGAAGGUUCAAAAGCAAAAUCUGAAUUCCUUGAUCCACCCACAUCUAUAUCCACUCUGAGCACCGAUCUGACCUUCACACACCUACACUGCACCUACAUAUAAAACAAAUUGACUCCUACAGCAGCAUCAGUGUAGUGAAUAGCAGAAAACACAUUUGGACAGCGAGGCAAGAAUAAAAAUCUAAUGAAAAGGUUAAAUCAGAGAGGAAGGGGAGCAGAGGGCUUGUUAAAUGAGGCUUUUCUGCAGAACUGGGUGAGUCAACGAGGGAACAAAUGGAAA